rnacentral:rRNA from 1 species
CAGCCAUGCCGCGUGUGUGAAGAAGGCCUUCGGGUUGUAAAGCACUUUCAGUCGUGAGGAAGGUAGUGUAGUUAAUAGCUGCAUUAUUUGACGUUAGCGACAGAAGAAGCACCGGCUAACUCCGUGCCAGCAGCCGCGGUAAUACGGAGGGUGCGAGCGUUAAUCGGAAUUACUGGGCGUAAAGCGCAUGCAGGUGGUUUGUUAAGUCAGAUGUGAAAGCCCGGGGCUCAACCUCGGAAUAGCAUUUGAAACUGGCAGACUAGAGUACUGUAGAGGGGGGUAGAAUUUCAGGUGUAGCGGUGAAAUGCGUAGAGAUCUGAAGGAAUACCGGUGGCGAAGGCGGCCCCCUGGACAGAUACUGACACUCAGAUGCGAAAGCGUGGGGAGCAAACAGGAUUAGAUACCCUGGUAGUCCACGCCGUAAACGAUGUCUACUUGGAGGUUGUGGCCUUGAGCCGUGGCUUUCGGAGCUAACGCGUUAAGUAGACCGCCUGGGGAGUACGGUCGCAAGAUUAAAACUCAAAUGAAUUGACGGGGGCCCGCACAAGCGGUGGAGCAUGUGGUUUAAUUCGAUGCAACGCGAAGAACCUUACCUACUCUUGACAUCCAGAGAACUUUCCAGAGAUGGAUUGGUGCCUUCGGGAACUCUGAGACAGGUGCUGCAUGGCUGUCGUCAGCUCGUGUUGUGAAAUGUUGGGUUAAGUCCCGCAACGAGCGCAACCCUUAUCCUUGUUUGCCAGCGAGU